rnacentral:lncRNA from 1 species
GCGCCACUGUGGUAAUGGACUCUGGAACAGAUGGGAUCUGCGGGAUCCUGGUCCAGCUUGGGGUAGGGUGGGGAGGGGAGGUUCUCUGAGGAAGGAAGGCCUUCUCUGAGGAUUUUAGUGUUGCAGCUCUUGUAGGUGAUACUCAAUGAAACAGCUCUCUUAGAGAAUCUUCAGUAAAAUAGCUGCUGUGCAUACACUGUAUACAAGGGCUACAUAUGAACCUUGGAGAGUGGAGAUUUCUGGGUGAAUAUAAAAGGCGAUGGCUGAAGCUUAAGUCCUGUGAAUGCCUCAUUUGUCUGGAGAUGCGUUCCGAGAAUCUCAGAUUUGAAUUUGCCCUUUGAAUCCUUGGUGGCAUAUGGUGGAAUUGUGGCUAGCAGACAGGAGCCUAGCAUAACUGUCUCCUGAGAGGCUCCGUCCAGUGGAUGGAAACAGAUGUAGAGACCCACAGCUGAAUCGCAGGCAGAGCUCGGGGAGUCUUGUGGAAGAGUGGGAGGAAGGACAGCACAAGAAGACCUGCAGAGUCAACUAACCUGGGCCCAUGGGGGCUUACAGAGACUGAGCCAAACAAAGAGCAUGCAUGGACUGGACAUAGGUCCCCUACACAUAUGCAGGAGAUAUGCAGCUUGGUCUUCAUGUGGGUCUUUUGUAACAACUGGAGUGGGGCCAGUCUCUGACUCUGUUGUCUGCCUUUCCAUCCCUUUCCCCUAGCUAGGCUGCCUUUCCUGGCCUCAGUGGGAGAGGAUGUGUUUAGUCCUGAUUCGACCUGAAGUGCAAAGAGGGGUUGGUAACCAAGGGGACGGGCCUUCCUUUCUCUGGGGAGGAGGGGAAGAGGCAAUGGGGAAAGGGGCAUGGGAGGAUAGGGGGGAGGGAAGCUUCAAUCAGGAUGUAAAGUGAAUAAAUAAAUUAAAAGAGAGUAAUUGUAGUUUGAAUAUUGAUA